rnacentral:lncRNA from 1 species
CACACGCGCGGCCGGCGCUCCGCACGGGCCUCCCCCCCAGCUACACACAACGCGCACACAAGACACGCACACCCAGACACGCACACACAGACACGCACACACAGACACGCACACACAGACACACACACACACACAGACACACACACACAGACACACACAGAGUGCGGUCUCCGCACGCACCUGUUAUUUGCACACGCACUCCUGGCAUUUUUCUGCACACACGCACGGGUGGCGCUUGCCCACCGUGCGCACGCAGCCCUUCUUCUCACUCCUGCCCUCGCGUGUGGGCUCCACACGCCGCCUCUGGCCCGCACACCCCGCUGGCGGCUGUGGGCGGCACAUGGGGCCGAUCGUGGUGCCCGGCUUACACGAGCCUGUUCGCCCACACGGACACACGUGUGGCACUUACACGCCUGCACUCAGCGCUCCCACACAACUGCACCGCUCGCCCACACGCAACUCUCCACUCGCACGGUCAACAUGCGCGGCUCUCGCACAGCGCUGCACACAGCUUUCGAGGCCUCCUUCCUGGGAGAGAGCCCUUGCCAGGGCCGGGCCGUUUGCCCUUCCACAUAUUUCCCUCUCCUGGGCAGGAAUGAGACCUCCUCAUUCCUCCCCUGGCCUGUGCUGGCCCUGCCUGCAGGAGCACAGAGCUCUCCCACCUUCCUGGCUGUGCCGGCAGAAAUUGGAUUGUUUCUAGAAAAUGGCCUGCCUGGAAGUUGCUAUACAAAGUGAUGAUUUUCUGCUUUCUUCUGAAUUACUCAGCAUCAGCACACAAAUCUCCAACAACCUUUGCAAAUACGGGGAACUUAAGCCACAUACCAUAUUGCUGAGGUACACCGAGAUAAUAUUUAUCCGAAAGGCAGAAAAAUGGAGAUCCAGAUAGCUCAGUAUGAAAUCACUGACGGAAUCUGAUACAAGCAGAGCAAAGACUACAUUUCCUUGGGCUUCUCAGCUCAUUAUUCUCUAAUUUAAUGCCAUAGGCCAGAUGCUUUGUUCCACCUUUUGCCUCAAUGUAUUAUGGAAUGGGCAAGAUAAAUAAAGAAAAAGCUCCUGCAGGUGAAUUGUGUUGG